AUUGAACGCUGGCGGCAGGCUUAACACAUGCAAGUCGAGCGGAGAUGAGGUGCUUGCACCUUAUCUUAGCGGCGGACGGGUGAGUAAUGCUUAGGAAUCUGCCUAUUAGUGGGGGACGACAUUCCGAAAGGAAUGCUAAUACCGCAUACGUCCUAAGGGAGAAAGCAGGGGAUCUUCGGACCUUGAGCUAAUAGAUGAGCCUAAGUCGGAUUAGUUAGAUGGUGGGGUAAAGGCCUACCAAGGCGACGAUCUGUAGCGGGUCUGAGAGGAUGAGCCGCCAAACUGGGACUGAGACACGGCACAGACUGCUACGGGAGGCAGCAGUGGGGAAUAUUGGACAAUGGGGGGAACCCUGAUCCAGCCAUGCCGCGUGUGUGGAGAAGGCGUUAUGGUUGUAAAGCACUUUAAGCGAGGAGGAGGCUACUGAGACUAAUACUCUUGGAUAGUGGACGUUACUCGCAGAAUAAGCACCGGCUAACUCUGUGCCAGCCGCCGCCGUAA
rnacentral:rRNA from 1 species